rfam:Schistosoma haematobium scaffold782_36, whole genome shotgun sequence.
AUCCAGCUGACGAGUCUCAAAUAGGACGAAACGCGCGUCCUACAU